rnacentral:lncRNA from 1 species
UUUAAACAAGCUCCCAAGAAGGCAACAGGGACCCACUGUACCCCAAGAGGCACUCCAAGUUUCCUUCAGAGAGGAAAAAGAGAGAUGGGGCUCCUAGAACCCACUCUCCCCAAAGGCGAGUUUCCCAGCAGGCGCCGCUCGUGCUGUUGCUGGAAAGCGAGCUCGCUGUAGACCGGCCGCGACACCACGUAGCUGCAGCUGUACUCGGGGAGCUGCGGCGGCUCCGACCUGCCGCCUGGCGCUGUCAUGACCUGCGAGCCAGAGGACAGCGAGGAGGGAGGAGACGCGGUAAGCGAGGACGAUCGGAGGUGAAGAGCGAGGAACAGAAACAACGGGAUCACCUGUUAGCUGCAGCCAGGCCCCCCUGCACCGCGAGUCUGGUCCGCGUCCUGCAGCCCUCGGCGCUCGCGACAAGCGCCCCACGGCGCGCACGGCCAGCCUGCAGGAGGGCACCUGAGAACCUUCGGGUCUCGUGGCCUGCACCCGCUGCCCGGGGUUCCCCAAACUUGAAGAGAGUAAGCCCCUGCUCUGGGGGCUUCCCGAGUUCCACCCAGUCCCCUAUGGCCCGCAGCCAGGGCGCUGUCCGCGGGAAGGAAUAAACUGGACUACAUGGAAAUCAAGACUAGAAGAGAGGGAGGAGGAGCCCGAGCUAUCCUACCUCACCAGUGUUUUGUCUUCUGUUGGGAUGAACUUUGUUAAAACUAAUGCAUGGUUAAGAUGAAAGGCAGAAGGAAGGGUUUGAUAAACCAGAACAUUCUCGCCUGAUUGUUAGUGUUCUGAAGUAAAUACAGAAGAGGCUCCAAAAUACAGACCUCUGUACAUCAACCUUCCGUAAUCCACCUACCUUGCAUAUGCAGACCAUGACAAUUCUACGAGCUCCUGGAAACAGAACUCAGAACUCCUCCCCAGAGAACCCUGAUGCAAAGAAGAAACCUAAAAGGAAAAUCCAGGUCAUGAACUUUGCAAUUUUUAUUCACAUACAGAGAAGAGGGGGGGAAUCUCUUGUGUAUGUUUUACUUAUGUAUAAAGUUUGCUAUCACUCCAAGGUUUUGCAUGCGACUUAAACUGUACAUUUAUUAAUAAAUUGCUACAUGCACUAAAAUAUGUAUCUCUCUCAUAUAUGUAUAUAUGUGUGUAUUUUUUCAUUAUUGUUGGAUGUAUAGCUCAACUCCACUACAACAGAGGAAAGUAUUUGUUUUAAAGUAGAAUCUGAAUAUACUCACUCUGUAAGGAUUUAUUAGGAAAUUAUUUGUGCUGGCUGUGGGUACAAUGAUGAACAAAAGCUUAUACCCUGGCCUCAUAUUUAUGGGUGCAGUAGACACUAAUCAGAGUAUCUAUGCUUUUGAGUGACUACGUGUGCUACAAGAAUGAUUUAAUUGAAUCCUUCAUUUAUUUAACUUAAGAGCAGUCAAUCUUGCUACAUUAUUUUUGUUUGAGAGCGAAUAUUGUGGUAUAAGUGUUAAUUUUCUCAAGAUAGCAAAUGCUAAAUUUUUGCCAUACUUAUACAAAAAGAGAACUGAACUGAACUUUCUUUCUAUAUUUCUGAUCUCUUCUUUGAGCAACUUAUUGGGCUUAUUCUCAGUAAUCAUACACUGUAUGCUACUUUAUUUUCUUCUCAAGUUAUAAGAUAUGCUCCCUAGGGACAUAAAUAAUAUAUGUCUUUUAUGGUUAAAGUAGAAUUAUAAUGCUAGUCUCUUUAUUUCCCUACACAAUACCUUGACAAAUUAUGACAAUAUAAUAGGUACCAGACUUGUUAAAUUAUUGAUCAAUUGAUUGUUUAACAAUGGAAUUUUGAGAAAUAUUUGGGUAGAAAAAAACUAGUUUUAAAAGAAGAGAAUCCAACCCUUAAAACAUCAAAAAAUGAA